rnacentral:rRNA from 1 species
CUCGCGGGUAGCAGCCUCACCCGUGUAUAUUAUAUCUUUGUUGCUUUGGCAUGCCGCCUUCGGGCACUGGCUUCGGCUGGCUCGUGUGUGUCAGAGGCCUUAAAACUCUGAAUGUUAGUGUCGUCUGAGUACUAUUUAAUAGUUAAAACUUUCAACAACGGAUCUCUUGGUUCUGGCAUCGAUGAAGAACGCAGCGAAAUGCGAUAAGUAAUGUGAAUUGCAGAAUUCAGUGAAUCAUCGAAUCUUUGAACGCACAUUGCGCCUGGUGGUAUUCCGCCAGGCAUGCCUGUUCGAGCGUCAUUUAAACCAAUCUAGCCUUAUGGUUAGGUCUUGGGCCUUCGCCUCUGGGCGGGCCUUAAAAUCAGUGGCGGUGCUCUUUGGCUCUAAGCGUAGUAAUACUCCUCGCUAUAGACGUCAGGCGGUGUCUUGCCAGCAACCCUAAAUUUUCAAAGGUUGACCUCGGAUCAGGUAGGGAUACCCGCUGAACUUAAGCAUAUCAAUAAGCGGAGGAAAAGAAACCAACAGGGAUUACCUUAGUAACGGCGAGUGAAGCGGUAACAGCUCAAAUUUGAAAUCUGGCUCUUUUAGGGUCCGAGUUGUAAUUUGUAGAAGAUGCUUCGGGUGUGGCUCCGGUCUAAGUUCUUUGGAACAGGACGUCAUAGAGGGUGAGAAUCCCGUAUGUGACUGGUUGCCUUCGCCUAUGUGAAGCUCUUUCGACGAGUCGAGUUGUUUGGGAAUGCAGCUCUAAAUUGGAGGUAAAUUUCUUCUAAAGCUAAAUAUUGGCCAGAGACCGAUAGCGCACAAGUAGAGUGAUCG